GUUUCUCUUCCUCUAACAGCUAGAUGGGAAUAUGACCAUAAACCAGAAGAGGGAAGUGAAGAAUGGAAAUUACUGGAUGCAUGCAUCAACCCCAAAGAAUGGAUCUAAUAUUUGCUUUAGGUAAGUUCUAAAUAUGUAGGUUCAGAUGAGCAAUAUGAUAUUCUUGAAGAGGAAGAGGACCUAAUCCGCGGCUUCUUUGCUCAGUCACUCCCUCCCUUCCCUCGUUUUGGUUGUGUAUUCUUGUGUUCCUUUUGAUUGAAAUGUAACAUUUCCAGAUUAGCUUGUUCUUGUGUUCGGAAUAAAUUAGCUUGUUCAUGGCUCGGUA